rnacentral:rRNA from 1 species
AGAGUUUGAUCUUGGCUCAGAUUGAACGCUGGCGGCAUGCUUUACACAUGCAAGUCGAACGGCAGCACCGGGGAGCCUUCGGCCUUGGUGGCGAGUGGCGGACGGGUGAGUAAUGCAUCGGAACGUGCCCAAUAGUGGGGGAUAACUAGUCGAAAGAUUAGCUAAUACCGCAUAAGGCCUGAGGGGGAAAGUGGGGGAUCUUCGGACCUCACGUUAUUGGAGCGGCCGACGUCCGAUUAGCUAGUUGGUAGGGUAAAGCCUUACCAAGGCGACGAUCAGUAGCUGGUCUGAGAGGAUGAUCAGCCACACUGGGACUGAGACACGGCCCAGACUCCUACGGGAGGCAGCAGUGGGGAAUUUUGGACAAUGGGCGCAAGCCUGAUCCAGCAAUGCCGCGUGAGUGAAGAAGGCCUUCGGGUUGUAAAGCUCUUUCAGAAGGAAAGAAAACUUAUCCACUAAUACUGGAUGAGGAUGACGGUACCUUGAGAAGAAGCACCGGCUAACUACGUGCCAGCAGCCGCGGUAAUACGUAGGGUGCGAGCGUUAUUCGGAAUUACUGGGCGUAAAGCGCGCGUAGGCGGUUUUUUAAGUCAGAUGUGAAAGCCCCGGGCUCAACCUGGGAACUGCGUUUGAAACUGGAGGGUUAGAGUAUGGGAG